rnacentral:misc_RNA from 1 species
AUUUUUUAAUUUUUAUCCGAUAAUUUUUCAGUCAAAGUAAAGAAGAUAUUAUUUUGGCUUUUGGGGUCGGUUUAGAAAAAGAAAGCUUUUCAGCUUUCAGCUAAACCAUCUUUAAACCCCAAAUAUUAAAUAGUUCGCUGCAAAUCACAAGUGGGAAUUAUCUCGAAAAGAGAAAAAUUCUUUUAAUGAUCCUUCCGCAGGUUCACCUACGGAAA